GUGGGAUGGGAAUGAAAGUGAUAAAAGAAGAAAACGGUCCACGUGCACUGAUAUUUUCACUUACCAUGAAAGACCAAGCAGUUGGUCAAUCUCUCCACAUUCCAGUGGGACUCACUCCUCUUCCCAUUUCCAUUUUCUUUCUCUGUUGCUUUAUUCCCAUGACAAUUUUUUACCCAUGCCAUGUAGGAUCAAAUUAAUUUCUCAUGAAAAUAUUAUUUUACAUUAAUCAAUGCAAGACUUGAUUUUAAUUUCGAUUUCAUUUUUCUUCUAAUUAAAGUUGAGUUUAAUCUAAAUUCGAUCUGAUUCAAAUAUAAUUAGAUGGAUUCGAUUUCAAUUUGAAGCUAAUGGGGUAAGGUGUGCUGGGGAAAAGUAAAACGGUGGGCGUGCAGCUGGAGUGCAUGGUUUGUGACGAGAAAUAUGUGCGUGUCCUUUUGUGCGUGUAAAAGCCCCCACCGCAAGAUCGAUUCAUUAAAAAAGAUGACUUGUCAGUGUCACUAACAAUAAAAAUGUUGGGUUUGCAAAAGCUAUACCCCACAUUUCUAGCACCGGAAAACAAUGACAUUGCACCCGCCACCUUCUCUCUACCCAACUGCUAUAUACACUUCCAGAGUGUAGAGCAAGUCUCCUUCAUUGCAAAUAUUACCUUCUAA
rnacentral:misc_RNA from 1 species